rnacentral:misc_RNA from 1 species
GAUGAAGAACGUAGCGAAAUGCGAUAAGUAGUGUGAAUUGCAGAAUUCAGUGAAUCAUCGAAUCUUUGAACGCACAUUGCGCCCUUUGGUAUUCCUUAGGGCAUGCCUGUUCGAGCGUCAUCUAAACCUUCAAGCCCUGCUUGGUGUUGGGUGCCUGUCCCGCCUCCGCGCGUGGACUCACCUCAAAUCCAUUGGCGGCCCCCGCGUCGGCCACGAGCGCAGCAGAAACGCGAACUCGUGAGCCCGUCCGGGCGGCUCCCAGAAGCUAACCCCCAAUUUUUGACCUCGGAUCAGGUAGGGAUACCCGCUGAACUUAAGCAUACAAUAAGCGGAGGA